AGUAAAUUUUGUGGUCAAGCUACUAAGGGCGCACGGUGGAUGCCUUGGCAGUAGGAGGCGAUGAAGGACGUGGUCAGCUGCGAUAAGCCUCGGGGAGCCGCAAACAGGCUUUGAUCCGGGGAUUUCCGAAUGGGGAAACCCCACAUGGUAAAACCGUGUGACGGCCCGAUGAAUCCAUAGUCGGGUACGAGCAAACCCAGGGAAGUGAACCAUCUCAGUACCUGGAGGAAGAGAAAGAAACCUCGAUUCCGAAAGUAGUGGCGAGCGAAAUCGGAAGAGCCCAAACCCAACGAACCUUCGGGUUCGGUGGGGGUUGUAGGACCCGCAACAGUAGAGUUACCAAUCCAGCCGUUAGCUGAAGCCCUCUGGAAAGAGGCGCCAUAGAGCAUGAAAGCUGCGUAGGCGAAAACGAUCUGGACUCGAAGCGGGCACCUGAGUACCGCGGGGCACGUGAAACCCUGCGGGAAUCUACGGAGACCAUUCCGUAAGGCUAAAUACUACCUACUGACCGAUAGUGAACCAGUACCGUGAGGGAAAGGUGAAAAGAACCCCUGCGAGGGGAGUGAAAUAGUACCUGAAACCGUGUGCCUACAAGCAGUGGGAGGGCUAUGCCCGUAAGGGAAUGCCUGACCGCGUGCCUAUUGCAUAAUGAGCCGGCUAGUUA
rnacentral:rRNA from 1 species